rnacentral:rRNA from 1 species
CGCGGUAAUACGAAGGGGGCUAGCGUUGCUCGGAAUUACUGGGCGUAAAGGGCGCGUAGGCGGAUCGUUAAGUCAGGGGUGAAAUCCCGGGGCUCAACCUCGGAAUUGCCCUUGAUACUGGCGAUCUUGAGUAUGAGAGAGGUAUGUGGAACUCCGAGUGUAGAGGUGAAAUUCGUAGAUAUUCGGAAGAACACCAGUGGCGAAGGCGACAUACUGGCUCAUUACUGACGCUGAGGCGCGAAAGCGUGGGGAGCAAACAGGAUUA